UUUAUGGGUACUACAGUCUACAUACAGGUACUACAGUCUACAUACAGGUACUACAAUCUACAUACAGGUACUACAGUCUACAUACAGGUAGUACAGUCUGCAUACAGGUACUACAAUCUGUUUAAAGGUACUACAGUCUACAUACAGGUACUACAAUCUGUUUAAAGGUACUACAGUCUACAUACAGG